rnacentral:tRNA from 1 species
GCGCCCUUAGCUCAGCUGGAUAGAGCACCGGCCUUCUAAGCCGGUGGCCGCUGGUUCGAAUCCAGCAGGGCGCGCCA